rnacentral:rRNA from 1 species
AUACGGAGGGUGCAAGCGUUAAUCGGAAUUACUGGGCGUAAAGCGCGCGUAGGCGGAUAUUUAAGUCUCAUGUGAAAGCCCUGGGCUCAACCUGGGGACUGCAUGGGAUACUGGGUAUCUAGAAUACAGUAGAGGGUAGUGGAAUUUCAGGUGUAGCGGUGAAAUGCGUAGAGAUCUGAAGGAACAUCAGUGGCGAAGGCGACUACCUGGACUGAUAUUGACGCUGAGGUGCGAAAGCGUGGGGAGCAAACGGGAUUAGAUACCCCAGUAGUCC